rnacentral:misc_RNA from 1 species
GAUGAAGAACGCAGCGAAAUGCGAUAAGUAGUGUGAAUUGCAGAAUUCAGUGAAUCAUCGAAUCUUUGAACGCACAUUGCGCCCCUUGGUAUUCCAUGGGGCAUGCCUGUUCGAGCGUCAUUUGUACCUUCAAGCUCUGCUUGGUGUUGGGUGUUUGUCUCGCCUCUGCGUGUAGACUCGCCUCAAAACAAUUGGCAGCCGGCGUAUUGAUUUCGGAGCGCAGUACAUCUCGCGCUUUGCACUCAUAACGACGACGUCCAAAAGUACAUUUUUACACUCUUGACCUCGGAUCAGGUAGGGAUACCCGCUGAACUUAAGCAUAUCAAUAAAGCGGAGGA